ACGGCUCAGUAACACGUGGAUAACCUACCCUUAGGACAGGGAUAAACCCGGGAAACUGGGUAUAAUACCCGAUAGAUCUCGAAUGCUGGAAUGCAUCGAGAUCGAAAGCUCCGGCGCCUAAGGAUGGAUCUGCGGCCUAUCAGGUAGUAGUGGGUGUAGCGUACCUACUAGCCUACGACGGGUACGGGUUGUGAGAGCAAGAGCCCGGAGAUGGAUUCUGAGACACGAAUCCAGGCCCUACGGGGUGCAGCAGGCGCGAAAACUUUACAAUGCCGGCAACGGCGAUAAGGGGACCUCGAGUGCCAGGUUACAAAUCUGGCUGUCGAGAUGCCUAAAAAGCAUUUCAUAGCAAGGGCCGGGCAAGACCGGUGCCAGCCGCCGCGGUAACACCGGCGGCUCGAGUGGUAACCGUUAUUAUUGGGUCUAAAGGGUCUGUAGCCGGCCGGAUAAGUCUCUUGGGAAAUCUGGCAGCUUAACUGUCAGGCUUUCAGGAGAUACUGUCUGGCUCGAGGCCGGGAGAGGUGAGAGGUACUUCAGGGGUAGGGGUGAAAUCUUGUAAUCCUUGAAGGACCACCAGUGGCGAAGGCGUCUCACCAGAACGGACCUGACGGCAAGGGACGAAAGCUAGGGGCACGAACCGGAUUAGAUACCCGGGUAGUCCUAGCCGUAAACGAUACUCGCUAGGUGUCGGCCGCGGUGCGACCGUUGUCGGUGCCGUAGGGAAGCCGUGAAGCGAGCCACCUGGGAAGUACGGCCGCAAGGCUGAAACUUAAAGGAAUUGGCGGGGGAGCAC
rnacentral:rRNA from 1 species